rnacentral:rRNA from 1 species
AGUCGAGCGGAACGAUGGGAGCUUGCUCCAGGCGUCGAGCGGCGGACGGGUGAGUAACACUUAGGAAUCUACCUAGUAGUGGGGGAUAGCUCGGGGAAACUCGAAUUAAUACCGCAUACGUCCUACGGGAGAAAGGGGGCAACUUGUUGCUCUCGCUAUUAGAUGAGCCUAAGUCGGAUUAGCUAGUUGGUGGGGUAAAGGCCUACCAAGGCGACGAUCUGUAGCUGGUCUGAGAGGAUGAUCAGCCACACCGGGACUGAGACACGGCCCGGACUCCUACGGGAGGCAGCAGUGGGGAAUAUUGGACAAUGGGGGCAACCCUGAUCCAGCCAUGCCGCGUGUGUGAAGAAGGCCUUUUGGUUGUAAAGCACUUUAAGCAGUGAAGAAGACCUAACGGUUAAUACCCGUUAGCGAUGACAUUAGCUGCAGAAUAAGCACCGGCUAACUCUGUGCCAGCAGCCGCGGUAAUACAGAGGGUGCAAGCGUUAAUCGGAAUUACUGGGCGUAAAGCGAGCGUAGGUGGCUUGAUAAGUCAGAUGUGAAAUCCCCGGGCUUAACCUGGGAACUGCAUCUGAUACUGUCAGGCUAGAAUAGGUGAGAGGAAGGUAGAAUUCCAGGUGUAGCGGUGAAAUGCGUAGAGAUCUGGAGGAAUACCGAUGGCGAAGGCAGCCUUCUGGCAUCAUAUUGACACUGAGGUUCGAAAGCGUGGGUAGCAAACAGGAUUAGAUACCCUGGUAGUCCACGCCGUANACGAUGUCUACUAGUCGUUGGGUCCCUUGAGGACUUAGUGACGCAGCUAACGCAAUAAGUAGACCGCCUGGGGAGUACGGCCGCAAGGUUAAAACUCAAAUGAAUUGACGGGGGCCCGCACAAGCGGUGGAGCAUGUGGUUUA